rnacentral:rRNA from 1 species
UACGUAGGGGGCAAGCGUUAUCCGGAUUUACUGGGUGUAAAGGGAGCGCAGGCGGCAGGGCAAGUCUGAUGUGAAAGCCCGGGGCUCAACCCCGGGACUGCAUUGGAAACUGCUCAGCUAGAGUGUCGGAGAGGUAAGUGGAAUUCCUAGUGUAGCGGUGAAAUGCGUAGAUAUUAGGAGGAACACCAGUGGCGAAGGCGGCUUACUGGACGACAACUGACGCUGAGGCUCGAAAGCGUGGGGAGCAAACAGG